CCUACGGGAGGCAGCAGUGGGGAAUAUUGGACAAUGGGGGGAACCCUGAUCCAGCCAUGCCGCGUGUGUGAAGAAGGCCCUCGGGUUGUAAAGCACUUUCAGUGAGGAAGAACGCCUGGUGGUUAAUACCCAUCAGGAAAGACAUCACUCACAGAAGAAGCACCGGCUAACUCCGUGCCAGCAGCCGCGGUAAUACGGAGGGUGCGAGCGUUAAUCGGAAUUACUGGGCGUAAAGCGCGCGUAGGUGGCUUGAUAAGCCGGUUGUGAAAGCCCCGGGCUCAACCUGGGAACGGCAUCCGGAACUGUCAAGCUAGAGUGCAGGAGAGGAAGGUAGAAUUCCCGGUGUAGCGGUGAAAUGCGUAGAGAUCGGGAGGAAUACCAGUGGCGAAGGCGGCCUUCUGGACUGACACUGACACUAAGGUGCGAAAGCGUGGGUAGCAAACAGGAUUAGAUACCCCUGUAGUC
rnacentral:rRNA from 1 species